rnacentral:rRNA from 1 species
UACGUAGGGUGCAAGCGUUAAUCGGAAUUACUGGGCGUAAAGGGCGCGUAGGCGGCCUGCUAAGUCGAACGUGAAAUCCCUGGGCUCAACCCAGGAACUGCGUCCGAUACUGGUUGGCUUGAAUCCGGGAGAGGGAUGUGGAAUUCCAGGUGUAGCGGUGAAAUGCGUAGAUAUCUGGAGGAACACCGGUGGCGAAGGCGACAUCCUGGACCGGCAUUGACGGCUGAGG